rnacentral:rRNA from 1 species
AGAGCUUGCUCUCGUGUGACGAGUGGCGGACGGGUGAGUAAUGUCUGGGAAACUGCCUGAUGGAGGGGGAUAACUACUGGAAACGGUAGUUAAUACCGCAUAACGUCGCAGGACCAAAGAGGGGGACCUUCGGGCCUCUGCCAUCAGAUGUGCCCAGAUGGGAUUAGCUAGUAUGUGGGGUAACGGCUCACCUAGGCGACCAUCCCUAGCUGGUCUGAGAGGAUGACCAGCCACACUGGAACUGACACACGGUCCUCACUCCUACGGGAGGCAGCAGGGGAAUAUUGCACAAUGGGCGCAAGCCUGAUGCAUGCAUGCCGCGUGUAUGAAGAAGGCCUUCGGGUUGUAAAGUACUUUCAGCGGGGAGGAAGGUGUUGUGGUUAAUACCGCAGCAAUUGACGUUACCCGCAAAAGAAGCACCGGCUAACUCCGUGCCAGCAGCCGCGGUAAUACGGGAGGGUGCAAGCGUUAAUCGGAAUUACUGGGCGUAAAGCGCACGCAGGCGGUCUGUCAAGUCGGAUGUGAAAUCCCCGUGCUCAACCUGGGAACUGCAUUCGAAACUGAGCAGGCUAUAGUCUUGUAGGAGGGGGGGUAUUAAUCUCCAGGUGUAGUCGGAUGAAAUGCGAUAGUAGAUCUGGAAGGACAUACU